rnacentral:tRNA from 1 species
UGUGGAUAUGGCUCAGUGGUAGAGUGCUUGCCUGAAAAGCAUGAGGCCCUGAGUUCAAUUCCCAGGACCACAA